UUAUAAGCUUAUAUGGAAGAAUUCAUGGAGAACCUUUGGAGCAAGUCAAACACAAGUGUUCUAAUAUAGAAUGGCCGUGCUGAGUACUGGUUGAAGAAGGGAUGAGCAGGUUUGAUUAUAAAUUACUUCACUUGCAUUACUCCGUUACAGUAUGAUAGUGUUUAGAUGCAUAUAAACCGCGACAUAUUUAUUUACCAUGUUUUGCUUGUCAUUGGAGUAACGAUCUGGAUGGUGUGUGUAGGGAGGAAGGAUCAGAUCUGUGAGCACAUUGAUUAUGAUGUUUGCCGAUGUGAAGGCAAGUAUUUCAUGUGCGACUACUCAUCCAAGUUUGUAAUCUUCCAUUUGGUCUCUUGUGAUGAUUAUCCUCAAAAUAGGGGAUUUUGUUUUGCUUAGUCUCCUAUAUAUACGCUUCGUGCACCUAUUGAUGCUACAACUACAAGUUCAGUAAUCAGAAAAGCCCCGCAAGCACUGCAACUGUUCCUCAAGUUUCAUCAUUUUCUUCUAAUGCAACAGUUAGCUAUAUGCGGGAAAUGGAAUCAAAGCACACCAACCUGUUCUUUUUCUAUUUCAAACCAUUGAAGACCAUGAUAUUACGAACUAUUUGUUUGUUGAUUUUUCCAAUCAGUAAUUGUAAUACCUCCUUGGGUCUUUACUAUUUGCCCUAUCUUGUUGACACAUGUAUGAACACUUAACUUGUCUUCAUUCUCAGUUUUUCCGGAUCUCAGAAGUACUAGUAAUUUCUUAAAGAUUGUAGAACUUGUAUACUUUUCUUGAAUUCAUGUGGGACAGCAAUACGACAAAGCAUUUGAUAAUUUUAUAUAGGAUUGGAUUUAAUAAAGCUAUGUCUAUUGUAGUUUAAGCUUUAGCUUGUCACUUGUAUGAUCUUCUGACAUUGUGUCCUCUCCAGGAGGUGGAGAGUUUACACAAUAGGAACUUGAUAUGAUAUGUAUUUGGAUUUACUAGUGUUUAAUACUUGUAACUUUAUUUAUGGAUGAAACCUAAGUUGGGUCGUGCAUCCACAUAAAGCCCCCUAAAAUGAUCACUACUUGCAUCCAUGAAUUGCUUAUACAUUGUUUGCGUUCUACUCUCAACUUGUUGCAUUUUUCAUAUUUCCUGUUAUGCAUUUUCUGCUUCUCAUGUGUUGUCCCUUCUAAUGUCAGGAUGCUUCUCAGAAUUCUAGAAGAGGAAGACAAUGGAGCCUCGUUGUUGUAUGAUGUGUCUACUUGUUUUAUAGUUGAAUAUAUAGUAUUAUUUUUUGUAGUACCAUUUAUCUGGGCUGUAAUACCAUUUGUCUACGGUGUGUAAUCUUAGUUUGUGUGUGCUGGGCUAUUGGAGAAUUAUCUGUAUAAUUUUACAUUUGUGUGAUGGGCAUAAAAUAUGAACAAUACUUCUGUAAUACCUAAGAACAUUUCCUGUACUGAACAAUACUUUUGUAGUAC
rnacentral:lncRNA from 1 species